AGAAAGAAAGGACAAACGUUUUUCUUCCUCUACAUUCCUUGGGAUUAUAUAACAAUAAUGUAUCCUGCUUGAGGACAGUCUCUGGAAAAAAAACCUUCUGGCUAAUCCUGUUAUCUUGAAAUGUAAAUUAUGGGAGUGGGUCUCAUGAGGUCUUUACAACCUCCAGACAUUCUUUUGAUUCACUGUAAUAAGUAAUUAAAAAGUGUAUAACUCCAUUGCUAGCACUUGUGAGGGGGCACUCUUUCUGCCCCCUUCUGAUGUCUAUGUCAGAAGUUUUCUCUGUCCCUUUUAUACUUUAAUAAAACUUUAUUACACAAAAGCUCUG